UCAACAAGAAGCAGCGACUUCCGUUUUUGCAAACCUUACCCUACUUCCUAACCAUUCCUUGAUCAAAUGCGUAUAAAAUGAAUCUUUGGUUGUUGUAUUCUUUCACAGGUAGACAUCGGUGACGGUGUAUACGUUGAAAAGGGCCUGCUGAAGAGGCUGUGCCUGGAUGCUAACAACUCAGGCUUUCACUUCGCGGAGGGCCUCCUUAAAGCUCCUUUUUCAAUAGAAGACGUUGAAGGGAGGUCCUUCUUUGGGCGGCUGUCAAAUGCCUUCCACAGAAGGAUCCGUUGGAUUCCAAGAAGGUCAACACCAUAGUAGACUACACAACGCAACAUUUCAGCCUACUUCCAGGGCAGCUGGAGAACUCGUCCUCCUUACUAGCCCGGGGAUAUUAAAUGGAUGUGUUCAAGCACAAA